AUUGAACGCUGGCGGCAGGCCUAACACAUGCAAGUCGAACGAGUGGGGACGGGUGAGUAACACGUGGGUAACCUCCCAUCAGGGGGGAUAACACUUGGAAAGAGGUGCGAAACCGAUACUGAUGGAUGGACCCGCUGUGCAGUAGGUAGGUGGUGAGGUAACGGCCCACCAAGGCAAGGACGCAUAGCCGACCUGAGAGGAUGAUCGGCCCCACUGGGCCUGAGACACGGCCCAGACUCCGACGGGAGGCAGCAGUAGCGAAUCUUCGGCAAUGGACGCAAGUCUGACCGAGCAACGCCGCGUGAGUGAAGAAGGUUUUCGGAUCGUACAACUCUGUUGUUAGAGAAGCGGUAUCUAACCUGAAAGCCACGGCUGACUACGUGCCAGCCGCCGCGGUAAUUC
rnacentral:rRNA from 1 species